GAUGAAGAACGUAGCGAAAUGCGAUAAGUAAUGUGAAUUGCAGAAUUCAGUGAAUCAUCGAAUCUUUGAACGCACAUUGCGCCCGCCAGCAUUCUGGCGGGCAUGCCUGUUCGAGCGUCAUUUCAACCCUCGAGCCCCCUCGGGGGCCUCGGUGUUGGGGGACGGCACACCAGCCGCCCCCGAAAUGCAGUGGCGACCCCGCCGCAGCCUCCCCUGCGUAGUAGCACACACCUCGCACCGGAGCGUGGAGGCGGUCACGCCGUAAAACGCCCAACUUUCUUAGAGUUGACCUCGGAUCAGGUAGGAAUACCCGCUGAACUUAAGCAUAUCAAUAAGCGGAGGA
rnacentral:misc_RNA from 1 species